UCUGCCCUUCUCCCCAACCAACAAUCAAAAAGAAACCCCGCACUCACCCCAAAACCUUCAAAGAGCCCCCUUUGGGACCAAGACUGCCCGCCUGCCUCCCCCUCCUCCUUCCGAGAUUUGGGGAAGGGGGGCACCCAGUUCAGGGCUGAGCCCAGCCAGGGUUGCCGGCCAGCUCUGCGGAUAAACCAGGCCCAGCCGAGCCUUCAGCCCCUAGCCCCACUCUUCCUCUCUGGAAGGACCCAGAAUGGAGAAAACCAAGCAGGCUUUAGGAAAUUCACGAGCUAAAAAUGUCAGGAAUUUCCUGGGAAACGCAGUUCCUUACGGGAUUCAUUAACGCAGGUUCGCUCGCCCCUUUUACUCAUCCUCCCAGAAACUCCUAAGUGUCAAGGAGAUCCCCCAUCUCUCAAAAAGUAAAACACUAAAUGAUCGCUGGUUUUUAGGAAGACAGCUAGGUUACUGACCAUUACCAAUGACAGCUAAACCAGUGACAGCAAAAAGGGGUCUUCUCUGGUCUCAGGAAGGGGCUCAGAAAUAGAUUUCUCUCUUCCUAGAUCUGAGGCAUAAUCUAGGGCCUAUUUUCCUUCUCCCAGAUAGACAGCUAAUGCUUAUACUCCCUCACUGCAGUCUGCAGUCCUAGCAGCUGUGGGGAAGCCAGGGCCUAUCUCCAGGGCAUCUCCUACCUGUGCUCCCAGAUGCCCCCAUCACCUUCUGCAGGGGGCUUAAGAGGAUACAGACCCCACAGCCCCAUUCCUGGUUUUCUCAAGCAUGGAUUGCUGCCUCCAUCCUGAGAAGAGUACAACCAUCUCAUCUGUAGGCUCCAUUCCCAAUGAACAUCGCCCAUCCCCUGCCCCCAAAAGUAAGGAGACUUGCCUCCCUCACUCUUAACCCCCAAGACAUCUGAGCACCUGGCUGCCCAAGCUUCCUGGAAAAGAAAGGGGUAAAGAGGGGACUAAUGAAAAGAAACCCAGACCAGCCCAGGGUAUAAGUCUUGUCAACGCCUGAGACUUUAAAGGUCCCUGAUACAUCCCUUCAUCUCCUGGGCAAACCUGCCUGCUAAGUAUUCACAGCUUCCUUUUUCUCUUCCAAGGGCCCCAUUCAACCCAGCAGUAGCUACUUCAGCUCUGGGCUGACGUUCACUACUUCCCGCUAAAGAGGAAGAAAUAGGGCAGAGCACUCUGACUUCGGAAAAGAAAACUGGGAUAGUCCUCUGAACCAGUCUCAGAACUACCCACCUGUCCAUUUGUCCCUGAAAUGGCUCUCUGAAUAGGAGGCCCACUGUGAGAGACGGAAAUCACAGGUUUUGGGCCCCAUAAAGAACUUCCCCCUAGUUUAGGGGCAUCCUGUAGCACUGAGUAGUCCCCUUUCAUUGCUGAUUUUUCUGCGCUCCCGCCCCUGUCCCCGUCUGUCGGGAGGAGAUAUAGGAACAACUGGUGCACUGCCCACCACACAAAAAUACAAGUGUGAAGAAGCGGCGGCUCCUCUAGGUUUGCAUGGUAGCGAUCAGGACCCUGGAUAGACCCCGUCCCAAACAGGGUCGCAAAGGCAGCGUGGCGUGGUCUCCGCACAGAGCUGGGCGGGGCAUUACGCUCCCACCUGUAAGUUGAGACUACUACGACCUGGUUAAGACCCGAUCUAGAAGAGCCGCUAUUCUUUCUCGUGAUUUUACCUCGCACUGAACCAAGCGCUUGUCCCCUCCGGAGAGCUCAAAGCAGCAAAGGCCAGUGGGGCUGCGAGGAGAGAGCACGCGGCUGCCAGUCCUUGUCACUCUUCCAUACUAAAAAAUCGCUUCCCCCAGAACCAAAAAGUAGAGCUUGAAACUGCCUGCCUUCCUGAACCAAUUCUGGGGUCUAAAUUUCUUUCCCUGUCCCAAAUGUUUACGUCCAGGGUUCUGAAGUGGUUUAAAUUUGGGAAUGCCCUUAUUUUCUGAAAAAAAUGAUGGUCACCAGGUACUGAUGUCUUAGUUUCCUAGCACAGAGGCAACUGAUAAAGUUUUUAGACAAAACACAAGUUAAAUAUCAUUUGCACGCAUAAACUGGGAAUUUUAAGCUCAAAUCAGCUAACAACUGAGACCUGGAACUCUCCACAUAAAUAUGUAUUUAUUUCAUGCUUUUUAUUACAUAUGUAUAAAAUUUUGCCAUUAUAUACUAGCUUCUUGCCUAGUUUGUAAAUGUAUCUAAAAGCAACCAAGGUUAAUAGUGCCUUUCCCAAAAUAAUACAAUGAUAAAUAGGAUAUUUAACACAUUUUCACUACUCAAACAAGAGAGUUUAUUUCAGGAUAAGCCUGUGAGUGUGGACUUUUGGUCAGAAUGGGAGAGGUGGGGAAAGGCGGCUUUCCUUAGUACCCUUAAAAGGGUGUCUGAGAGAAAAGUCUUAAAACAAAGAGGUUAGAACCUUAAACAGAAUUUCAAAGUUAGAUUUGCAUACUAACACAGAAAAUCCAUGAGCAAACUUGUGGAUUUAAAAACACAUCUAGCCAUUUGUUAAUUACCAAGACAACAUGCUAACUUGGUAAAUGAAAAGCCAAUUCUAGUGUCUAGAUGUUUGCAUUGUUAUUUUAAAACAAAUAGUUGCAGAAUUAAAAUUAUAGUUUCAACACAAUGUAAGAAAGACACAGGGAAAACGAAAUACAUUAAUAUGCACAAAAUAUGUGUUAAUGAAAAAAACAUAAAAAAAUUCCCUUUCUCCUCAAAGUUUACUUGCAUUUUUAAAACCUGAUAAACAUCUCUAGAUUUAGUGUGCUCUCUUAUUAACAAUACACAUUUUGAAGAGAAUUGAGAUUGCUUUAUCUUUAAUUCCUCUAUUUCUACAUCUUUAACAAACUCUUAACAACAAAAAAUUGUUUGCUAGAGAAAUAGAUACUAGGCUGAACAAGAAGGAAAAAAAAAAACCCUCAUUUUCCUCAGCCUGAACUAGGGAUGAGUCUGAAAUAAUCUAAUUCUAAAAGUAAAAGUUAACACACAUUUACAAAAUAAACUUGGAGAGAGGGAAUCUACCUCUGGGUAAUAAACUCUUGAUUAUGGAGUUUCCAACAGAAACAAUAUACUCAUUAAUAUUUCACAGAAUCACAUAUUUCCCAAAUAAAAAAGCAGCAAAACCAUUAGUACUUGUGUUUUCAAGUGCUACUUAGGUUAAAUGCCUGUUUUAAACCAGACAACAAUUAUCUUCAAUACUCAAAUCAUUAAAACUAACUGGAAUGUUGUACUGCAACUGUUCAAAACUGGAGGAAUUACCCAUUUCUUCUCAUGGCUAGCUAUCGGGAAAAUUAAGGGAAACUCUCAAAUAAAUCUUAACAUUUUAACAACAACGACUAAUAGUAUUUCAACGAUCAUUUUUUAAAAGUCUAUCCCCUUUCUACAGCUUACUUAAUCUUUAAAACUAUGCCUCUCCAAUGCUAUUUCAAUGUUUAGGGUUAAAUAUAUGAACUAAACAUUUAAAAUCUGAAGAGAACAAUCCAUGUGAUAGAAUCCUCACGUUUCACAAAAUGUUAUUUUAAGCAUUUGCAGAAGAAUUAAAUAAAUGUAGCACACACUCUAAAUUCGAUAAAAGAUUCAGAGAACCCGACAUUUUAUAUACCCAAAAGAUCCAAAUAGAACCGAUGCAAAUGUCAAUAACUCUCUUUCGUCUAAUUCUUAAAUGAUUUUACUAGUACCCAAAGGAAUGAAAUCAGCAACUCUUUCCACACUCUAGUCAACACUCCAAUUUUCAAAGCCGCAAUUCGAAAACGUCAGUUUGGGCGGGGAGCAGUGAGGGUCUUGAAGUAAUCAAAAAAUUCCUUUUCCUCCUCUGACAGUCAACCAAAAGAUGUCAAACCAAAUUCAGCCUAUUAUAAAGCACUGGGGCUUCCCUUCCAAGGACACGGGACUCAAGCGCAGACACCGCUGCAAAAAGCUGUCCCCAAACGCCUGGUCCGACCGAAAUGUAAGGGGCCCAAACAAGAACGAAAUUAGAAGCCUCAAGAGGGUCCCGCAGAGACAACGGAAAUUAAAGUAGCAUUUAUUCAGGGGUAGACAGCAACGAACCAACGUUCUCCCAGCCGGACUCUUAGCCUUUCUCUAUCCGAAUUCAGGCUCAAGGCAGAUAGAUUUGUGGGGGUCCCUUUCCCCAUUGACAUCUCAGCCGCUGCCGGGGCCUACCGUCGCUCAAAGGGAAGACCCUCCAACUUCACAUCCGUCCCUUUUGCCCUCGGACAAAAGCAGAGGAGACUAUGCAGCUGACCUAGCUCUGUGGGGCAGCAAAAAUGCCUUGUCCGGGCCACCCAUCCCUGGGCCUGGCUUCAUUUGCGCUGUCAGCACCAAUGUAUUCUUCUUUAUUUUUGCAACGCAUACUGGGCGGGUGUAUGCAUUGCGGGGGUGGGGUGGGGAUUGAACAGAGAAAGGAGGGGUUGGUAGUGGAGCCUUGAACCCUCCUUCCUCUCCCCUCCAGCCAGGGGUGCUGUGCAGGGAGUGUCGGCCAGGUUUGGCGCACUGUCCCAGGCCCCAGGCUAAGGUGGCCAGGGGAAACGAGGCUUAGGGAUUUCUAAGCAAACGGUACCACUGGUGGUCUCCAGCGCCUGCGGAGGUUAUCAACAUGUUGCCAUUUUAUUACAUGGAGCAAGGCUGAAUACAUAUAUUCAUGAGUAGGCCAGAUAUUCACUUCCAUACUGAUCAAGGGACAUCAGGUGCUGCUGAAGUAAGAAUGACUCCUGCCAAAGUUCCCUCUGAGUGGGGGAGAGGGGGUCCUUUAU